rnacentral:sRNA from 1 species
AAACCCUAACCAAGAUUCUUUUUGCUUCUUAAAGUAUUAUAGUAUAUUUGCUCCUAAACACUAAACAUAAACUCUACACCAUAAAUCCCAAAACCUAAAUCUUAAACCCUAAACCCUAAACCCUAAACCCAAAACCUAAAACCCUAAACCCUAAACUCUUACCCCUAAACCCUUAAACCUAAACGCAAAACCAUAGUCCCCAAACUUUAUAACCAAAAUCCUACUUUAGCUUCCGGAAGCCGGUUGCGGUUCUAGUUCUUAUGCUUAACGAUACAU